UACGUAGGGUGCAAGCGUUGUCCGGAAUUAUUGGGCGUAAAGAGCUCGUAGGCGGUUUGUCGCGUCUGGUGUGAAAAUCCAGGGCUUAACCCUGGACCUGCAUCGGGUACGGGCAGACUAGAGUGCGGUAGGGGAGAUCGGAAUUCCUGGUGUAGCGGUGAAAUGCGCAGAUAUCAGGAGGAACACCGGUGGCGAAGGCGGAUCUCUGGGCCGUAACUGACGCUGAGGCGCGAAAGCUAGGGGAGCAAACGGG
rnacentral:rRNA from 1 species